rnacentral:rRNA from 1 species
ACGUAGGGGGCGAGCGUUAUCCGGAUUCAUUGGGCGUAAAGCGCGCGCAGGCGGCCUCUCAAGCGGCACCGUCGAAGCCGGGGGCUCAACCCCCGGAAGCGGGCCGAACUGGGGGGCUCGAGGCAGGCAGAGGAAGGCGGAAUUCCCGGUGUAGCGGUGGAAUGCGCAGAUAUCGGGAAGAACACCGACGGCGAAGGCAGCCUUCUGGGCCUGUCCUGACGCUCAGGCGCGAAAGCCGGGGGAGCGAACAG